rnacentral:rRNA from 1 species
GACGAACGCUGGCGGCGUGCUUAACACAUGCAAGUCGAACGGAAAGGCCCUGCUUUUGUGGGGUGCUCGAGUGGCGAACGGGUGAGUAACACGUGAGUAACCUGCCCUUGACUUUGGGAUAACUUCAGGAAACUGGGGCUAAUACCGGAUAGGAGCUCCUGCUGCAUGGUGGGGGUUGGAAAGUUUCGGCGGUUGGGGAUGGACUCGCGGCUUAUCAGCUUGUUGGUGGGGUAGUGGCUUACCAAGGCUUUGACGGGUAGCCGGCCUGAGAGGGUGACCGGCCACAUUGCGACUGAGAUACGGCCCAGACUCCUACGGGAGGCAGCAAUGGGGAAUAUUGCACAAUGGGCGGAAGCCUGAUGCAGCAACGCCGCGUGCGGGAUGACGGCCUUCGGGUUGUAAACCGCUUUCGCCUGUGACGAAGCGUGAGUGACGGUAAUGGGUAAAGAAGCACCGGCUAACUACGUG